CAUCGUUAGCCUUGCGGAUUCCACACUCCUCCUCCAACGCCGUUAGUCAGCCUCCAACACUGGUUCCAACAAGACUCACAUAAAGGCAAAAAUGUUCCUCCUGAUGUGAGGAUGAAGAUUUCCAAUAAGACAGAGUCACUUAAUCCCACCACAAGACACAAGAAACCAAGCAUCUGAAGAGAACCUGCCUCACUAGAGCUGCCCAACUGUCCACAGCUGUCCUGUCCCUCAUGCAGCUCUUCCUCUUUCACCUCAAGGUCAGCUGGGAGGGAGAAAGCGAAGCCAGCUGUGCAAGGGCCAGGAUGGGGGAAGCAGUGCAGAGGAUGGGAUUGAGACCCACAAGGCAUUGGACACCAUAGAUGUCUCAACAGAGUGUGAAGCCAAGGGAAGAACAGCACUGUUGCUGUGUGCUGGUGCUGCUGCCAACAGCACCCAGACCUUCACAGCCAACCCUCCACAGCACACCUCAGACUCUGAACUAACCUGAAUUUGACACUUUCACGGGACAGUUUCCAAGGAAUCCCCCACCUCAAGAGAAGAUGUGGACCUCAACUCAGCCUCGGCAGACAGACACUUCCUACAAGACUAACAUGCCUAUAUGAGAGAUGAAAAUCAAUCUGACCCAAAGUUUAAGGUAAUAAAGGC
rnacentral:lncRNA from 1 species